rnacentral:rRNA from 1 species
UACAGAGGGUGCGAGCGUUGUCCGGAAUCACUGGGCGUAAAGGGCGCGUAGGUGGCGACCCAAGUCGAUGGUGAAAGCUCGCCGCUCAACGGCGAGUCGGCCACCGAUACUGGGUUGCUGGAGCACUGUAGAGGCUCAUGGAAUUCCGGGUGUAGCGGUGGAAUGCGUAGAGAUCCGGAAGAACGACCGGUGGCGAAGGCGGUGAGCUGGGCAGUUGCUGACACUGAGG